rnacentral:lncRNA from 1 species
CAUUAGAAGUCCCAGACAAACAUCUGGGACUUUACAGAGCUGGUAAAUGGUUCAGAAAGCGUUGUUAUAAGACUUGAGUUGUCCUUAUCAUCAGGGAAGACAAAAAAAGUAUACGAGAUAUGAGCCACGCUUUCUAGUGUGCUUCUAAGAGGUACUUAGAUGCUGUAAUAGAGAGCAUUGCCUCUCAGAUGUUCUGGGAAAGGCCAGGUGGCAGUUCAGUGUGUCUGCAGUCCUUAUAUGGGAUACAUAUGUGCUUUUUCCUAAAUUAUCUCUUCCUAGUAGAAUCAUACUGUUUGUUUAUUUCUGUUAUUGAAACUUACACAUUUAUCCUUAGAAUUAUGCCUAUUGGGUUGUAUUCCUAUCUACUUUUGUACAAUACUAUUUUGGUGUAUUCUUAUGCCACUUUAAUGAAUAUACCUGCAUAUGGUGAACUCCAUUACCUCCAGUAUUUCCUCUACAUAUUUCUACAUUGAAUUCCAAAGUUUUCCUGGUUUUUUGGUUGAUAUAUUCUUCUAGAGCCAUUGUAUGGAAACUGUUGAAUCACAGCUGGAACCUCUGAUUGACCACCUGAGGCAAGCACUGAGUCAGCCAUGAGAGCACAGGUGAAGGCAAUUCACCUGUGUGACCAGAAGGGGUGGAGCCAGGCUCCACCUCUCCUAGACCCCAUUUAAGGUCUGACUGCCACUGAGGAAGGAUCUCUUCCUGGAGGUUGCUCCUUGUGGAGUUUUUGUGAGCCUACCACACUGUGAGCCUUUUACAUCAUGGGUCCAAAUCUGAAGUAAAAAUCUAUGACAAAAGUAACCUGCAGCCCAUCAUCUGCACAGACCAGAAGAAAAAUGUGUUUUAAAGGCACUUCAGAGAUGCAUUCAACUUCACUAGUUUAUGUGCAAUACAGAAUAUCUUCAGAAUCACUCAAGAACAAGAAGUUAUGUUUAGACUGGCCAAGGAGAAGAUGAGUCUUCAAAAAGUACAAAAGCUCUGGGGUAGGAACAAGAUGACCAAGACUACCUGACACAAAAAUGAAUUUAAGGUAAUGAGCAGAAAAUUACUUAAAAACCAGUAUGAUUAGUGGCUUUCAGAGAGCAGAUCUGUGCGAAUGAGAGGAGAAGCUGGUUUCUGGAUUUUAUGAUAGUCCCAGAGGGAAACAGACACUGAGAUGGGACCAAGAGCUAUAGAAUAUGCAAAUGAGAAAACACUGGAAAUACAGGG